rnacentral:rRNA from 1 species
AGAGUUUGAUCAUGGCUCGAGGACGACGCUGGCGGCGUGCUUAACACAUGCAAGUCGGACGGGGUUCUUUUGAUCAGCUUGCUGAAUGAGAGGACCUAGUGGCAAACGGGUGAGUAACGCGUAGGCAACCUGCCUUUCUGAUGGGGACAACAUCCCGAAAGGGGUGCUAAUACCGAAUGAUGUAUGUUUCCCGCAUGGGAAAGAUACCAAAGAUGGCCUCUGCUUGUAAGCUAUCGCAGAAAGAUGGGCCUGCGUCUGAUUAGCCAGUUGGUGAGGUAACGGCUCACCAAGGCGACGAUCGGUAGCCGAUCUGAGAGGAUGACCGGCCACAUUGGGACUGAGACACGGCCCAGACUCC